GUAAUCCGACGGUACGGUAUUGAGGUUGAAAACCCCGCCAGGUUCGAAAGAAAGCAACGGUAUCGAUUCAAGAUGCGCGUAUUUAAUCGGAUUGCUCU
rnacentral:SRP_RNA from 1 species